GAAAUGCGAUAAGUAAUGUGAAUUGCAGAAUUCAGUGAAUCAUCGAAUCUUUGAAAGCAACUUGCGCUCCUUGGUAUUCCUUGGAGCAUGCCUGUUUGAGUAUCAUGAAAUCUUCAAAGUAAAUCUUUUGUUAACUCAAUUGGUUUCUACUUUGGUAUUGGAGGUCUUUGCAGCUUCACACCUGCUCCUCUUUGUUCAUUAGCUGGAUCUCAGUGUUAUGCUUGGUUCCACUCGGCGUGAUAAGUUAUCUAUCGCUGAGGACACUGUAAAAGGUGGCCAAGGUAAAUGCAGAUGAACCGCUUCUAAUAGUCCAUUGACUUGGACAAUACUUUUAUGAUCUGAUCUCAAAUCAGGUAGGACUACCCGCUUAACUUAAGC
rnacentral:misc_RNA from 1 species